GCAAGCUCCGCCGUCUCCGGCGGUGAACUUCCGUUCACCAGAUCCGGUCCACUGCCACUCCCACAUCCUAUCCUAGCCCCCGCUUCUAUCUCUUGCCUCAUUAUCUAUCUCGUGUCUAUAUGGUAGGUCGAGUCCGUUUAGUUACCAUCGCAAGCUUGUGUUCGUUCUCUGACCAUUUGCUACAUGUAAUGGCAUCCCAUCGUCGGCCCCCCAGGUUUUCCAUCAGCCAUUGCUUAGAUUAAGCUAUUCCCCGCUCAAUCUCAGACUUGUGAGUUGAGGGGCAAAAGAGAAAGGAGAAAGGACAAGCUGUAUGCUACUGCUACCAUAACAUACCAAUCUAGGUGAUACCCUAGCUAUUGUCAAGGCAUUUGUUACCGUUGUUACAGUCCCGGUGACCGUACUUAUUCUCCCAAGUAAUGCCGGAGUGAAAUGCUCGAUGAGGUACUCGACGAAGAAAACAUCAAGUGGACUUACAAGGUUGUACAAUUUCUUUAAAAAUGUUUAUUCUUUUGGGAAUUAAAUUACUUUAGAUGCUGAUAUAAUUCCUAUAUAUCAUUGGAAACACGUUGCAGUUGGUUGACCGCCUUUGAUUGCUUUAUUUGUGAUUU